GAUGAACGCUGGCGGCGUGCCUAAUACAUGCAAGUCGAGCGAACGGACGAGAAGCUUGCUUCUCUGAUGUUAGCGGCGGACGGGUGAGUAACACGUGGAUAACCUACCUAUAAGGCUGGGAUAACUUCGGGAAACCGGAGCUAAUACCGGAUGAUAUUUUGAACCGCAUGGUUCAAAAGUGAAAGACGGUCUUGCUGUCACUUAUAGAUGGAUCCGCGCUGCAUUAGCUAGUUGGUAAGGUAACGGCUUGCCAAGGCAACGAUGCAUAGCCGACCUGAGAGGGUGAUCGGCCACACUGGAACUGAGACACGGUCCAGACUCCUACGGGAGGCAGCAGUAGGGAAUCUUCCGCAAUGGGCGAAAGCCUGACGGAGCAACGCCGCGUGAGUGAUGAAGGUCUUCGGAUCGUAAAACUCUGUUAUUAGGGAAGAACAUAUGUGUAAGUAACUGUGCACAUCUUGACGGUACCUAAUCAGAAAGCCACGGCUAACUACGUG
rnacentral:rRNA from 1 species